rnacentral:rRNA from 1 species
CCAGACUCCUACGGGAGGCAGCAGUGAGGGAUAUUGGUCAAUGGGGGAAACCCUGAACCAGCAACGCCGCGUGAGGGAAGACGGUUUUCGGAUUGUAAACCUCUGUCCUCUGUGAAGAUAAUGACGGUAGCAGAGGAGGAAGCUCCGGCUAACUACGUGCCAGCAGCCGCGGUAAUACGUAGGUGGCAAGCGUUGUCCGGAUUUACUGGGUGUAAAGGGCGUGCAGCCGGAGAGACAAGUCAGAUGUGAAAUCCACAGGCUCAACCUGUGAACUGCAUUUGAAGCUGUUUCCCUUGAGUAUCGGAGAGGUCAUCGGAAUUCCUAGUGUAGCGGUGAAAUGCGUAGAUAUUAGGAAGAACACCAGUGGCGAAGGCGGAUGACUGGACGACAACUGACGGUGAGGCGCGAAAGCGUGGGGAGCAAACAGGAUUAGAUACCCUCGUAGA